rnacentral:rRNA from 1 species
CAUUAGCUAGUUGGUAGGGUAAUGGCCUACCAAGGCUGCGAUGGUUAGCUGGUCUGAGAGGAUGAUCAGCCACACUGGAACUGAGAUACGGUCCAGACUCCUACGGGAGGCAGCAGUGAGGAAUAUUGCGCAAUGGGGGCAACCCUGACGCAGCAACGCCGCGUGAGUGAGGAAGGUUUUCGGACCGUAAAGCUCUGUCGAGCGGGAAGAAAUGCAUUAUGGCUAAUAUCCAUGAUGUUUGACGGUACCGCUAGAGGAAGCACCGGCUAACUCCGUGCCAGCAGCCGCGGUAAUACGGGGGGUGCAAGCGUUGUUCGGAAUCAUUGGGCGUAAAGAGCGUGUAGGCGGCUGAAUAAGUCAGAUGUGAAAGCCCUGGGCUUAACCCAGGAAGUGCAUUUGAAACUAUUCGGCUGGAGUAAGGGAGAGGAAAGUGGAAUUCCUGGUGUAGAGGUGAAAUUCGUAGAUAUCAGGAGGAACACCGGUGGCGAAGGCGACUUUCUGGCCCUAUACUGACGCUGAGACGCGAGAGCGUGGGUAGCAAACAGGAUUAGAUACCCUGGUAGUCCACGCUGUAAACGAUGUUCACUAGGUGUUGGGGGUAUUGACCCUCUCAGUGCCGCAGCUAACGCA